rnacentral:rRNA from 1 species
AUAGCGUAUAUUAAAGUUGUUGCAGUUAAAAAGCUCGUAGUUGAAACUUGGGUCUGGCUAGCGGGUCCGCCUCACCGCGUGCACUUGUCCGGCUGGACCUUUCCUUCUGGAGAACCUCAUGCCCUUCACUGGGUGUGUUGGGGAACCAGGACUUUUACUUUGAAAAAAUUAGAGUGUUCAAAGCAGGCCUUUGCUCGAAUACGUUAGCAUGGAAUAAUAAAAUAGGACGUGCGGUUCUAUUUUGUUGGUUUCUAGAGUCGCCGUAAUGAUUAAUAGGGAUAGUUGGGGGCAUUUGUAUUGCGUUGCUAGAGGUGAAAUUCUUGGAUUUACGCAAGACAAACUAUUG